rnacentral:tRNA from 1 species
CAAAUAGUAGCUUAAAAUAAAGCAUUCAGCUUACAAUUGAAAUAUGUUAGUGAAACUCUAACCUUUUUGA